AACACCUCAAAUCCUCACUUCUUUUUGGAGAGAGGAAUUGGACUUGAGCAAUCCCAACACUUGCAAGAGUGGCGGGUUGCUUGAAAUGCAGGUGCAGCUGGACUUUCCUCUGAGCUAAAAGCAUAUUUAUUUAAUCCCGUCAAACGGAUUAUUACUUUUGCUGCAGCUAACAUAAAGGAGAAUCGUUCUUGUGCUGACUGAUGCAGGAUUCACAGGUUGCUUCGGCGACUUGUAA
rnacentral:misc_RNA from 1 species